AUGAACGCUGGCGGCGUGCCUAAUACAUGCAAGUCGAGCGAACAGACGAGGAGCUUGCUCCUCUGACGUUAGCGGCGGACGGGUGAGUAACACGUGGAUAACCUACCUAUAAGACUGGGAUAACUUCGGGAAACCGGAGCUAAUACCGGAUAAUAUAUUGAACCGCAUGGUUCAAUAGUUAAAGACGGUUUUGCUGUCACUUAUAGAUGGAUCCGCGCCGCAUUAGCUAGUUGGUAAGGUAACGGCUUACCAAGGCGACGAUGCGUAGCCGACCUGAGAGGGUGAACGGCCACACUGGAACUGAGACACGGUCCAGACUCCUACGGGAGGCAGCAGUAGGGAAUCUUCCGCAAUGGGCGAAAGCCUGACAGAGCAACGCCGCGCGAGUGAUGAAGGUCUUCGGAUCGUAAAACUCUGUUAUUAGGGAAGAACAAAUGUGUAAGUAACUAUGCACGUCUUGACGGUACCUAAUCAGAAAGCCACGGCUAACUACGUG
rnacentral:rRNA from 1 species